rnacentral:rRNA from 1 species
AGCAAACCGGAUUAGAUACCCGGGUAGUCCUAGCUGUAAACUCUGCCCGCUUGGUGUGGCCUGUCCUUCGGGGGCAGGCCGUGCCGGAGCGAAGGUGUUAAGCGGGCUGCUUGGGGAGUACGGCCGCAAGGUUGAAACUUAAAGGAAUUGGCGGGGGAGCACCGCAACGGGAGGAUGCGUGCGGUUUAAUUGGAUUCAACGCCGGAAAACUCACCUGAGGAGACCAGCGUAUGUGGGUCAAGCCGAAGACUUUACCCGAACAACAGCUGGAGAGGUGGUGCAUGGCCAUCGUCAGCUCGUACCGUAGGGCAUUCACUUAAGUGUGAUAACGAGCGAGACCCCCAUUCCUAGUUGCUAACCCCUCCGAAAGGAGAGGUGCACUCUAGGGAGACCGCUUCCGCUAAGGAAGAGGAAGGAGGGGUCGACGGUAGGUCAGUAUGCCCCGAAUCCUCAGGGCAACACGCGCGCUACAAAGGACAGGACAAUGGGUUCCAACCCCGAAAGGGGAAGGUAAUCCCGAAACCUGUUCGUAGUCCGGAUUGAGGGCUGUAACUCGCCCUCAUGAACGGUGGAUUCCGUAGUAAUCGCGGAUCAACAGUCCGCGGUGAAUAUGCC